rnacentral:piRNA from 1 species
UCGCCAUGUCUUCUCUUCUUCAGGACUCUC